UACAAGUAAUGUGAUCAUGGCUGC
rnacentral:siRNA from 1 species